rnacentral:rRNA from 1 species
GAUGAACGCUAGCGGCAGGCUUAAUACAUGCAAGUCGAGGGGCAGCACGGGGGCAACCCUGGUGGCGACCGGCAAACGGGUGCGGAACACGUACGCAACCUUCCCAUAACUGGUGAAUAGCCCUCCGAAAGGAGGAUUAAUACACCGUACCAUAGUGAAGAGGCAUCUCUUUAUUAUUAUAGUAGCAAUACGGUUUUGGAUGGGCGUGCGCCUGAUUAGGUAGUUGGCGGGGUAACGGCCCACCAAGCCUGCGAUCAGUAACUGGUGUGAGAGCACGACCAGUCACACGGGCACUGAGACACGGGCCCGACUCCUACGGGAGGCAGCAGUAAGGAAUAUUGGUCAAUGGACGCAAGUCUGAACCAGCCAUGCCGCGUGAAGGAUGAAGGCCCUCUGGGUUGUAAACUUCUUUUAUCUGGGACGAAAAAAGAUCAUUCUUGAUCACUUGACGGUACCAGAGGAAUAAGCACCGGCUAACUCC